GCGCUCGUGGCGGAAUUGGUAGACGCGCAGCGUUGAGGUCGCUGUGGGGUAACUCCCGUGCGAGUUCGAGUCUCGCCGAGCGCACCA
rnacentral:tRNA from 2 species